GUAUUAGUUAUGUUCUUGAAACCCAAAGGAUUUGGCGGUAUUUUAGUCCUUUCAGAGGAGCCUGUCCUGUAAUCGACAUUCCACGAUGUAUCUUACUUAUAUUGGCUUUCAGUUUGUAUACCUCCGUCAUAAGGGUAUUUUUUUAGAAUUAAUUCCCAUUCAUAUUUAAUGUAAUUAUGUCAGGUCAAGGUGCAGCUUAUGUAUAAGUUGAGAUGGGCUACAAUAAUUUUAUUUAAAACGGAUAUACUUUUGUAUGUGAGUGUUGAAGGUGGAUUUGAAAGUAAAAUGAUUUAUUUGGUUGUUUGGAUUUGGCUCUAUAAUGUGCACACAUCGCCCG
rnacentral:rRNA from 1 species